rnacentral:rRNA from 1 species
CGGCCAAGCACGAUAAAUUUCGGCACAUUUCAGCGAAGUUUGUGGAUUUUCAUUACAUAGCACAUAUACAUAAACUAAUCUAAAGGAAAAACUGGCUUAAGUCGCCGCCGUCGCCGCCAUCGUCGUCGGCGGCCUUCUCCUCCUUGACGCGGGCGCCCCUGCUGGACCCCUGCCCGGCGUCGCCAUGGCGGACUGGUGGCGGCGCAUCGUCGUCGUCGUCGUCGCUGUCGUAGAUGACGACGACUCCGCCUUCGUCGCGGCCGCGUCGACGCUCCGCGAAGCGAAGCAGGGCGGCGCACUGGCGCUCCUUCUCCAUCGUUAUGGAGUCCCUGCGCGCCCAUUCCAGGGCCGCGUCGUCGUCGUCGAGCUCCGUCGUCACCGGCGCGGCCGGCUCCUUCUUCACCGGCGCGAGCCCUGGCUCCGUCUUUGGCUUGAUGAAGCGCGGAGGAGGAGCCGACGAGUAGGCGCGCCGGUCGUCCUCGUUGAUGACGAUGCCGGCGCUGCGAGUGCGUCGCCCGAGCGGCGUCUCCGCCGCGGGCUCGGCCUUGACGCCGAGCAAGGCCGGAGUGCCGGAGGAGUGCGAUGAAGAUCGGGAGGAGGAAGAAGAGGAGGAGGACCCGAACCUCCUUGGCGCCCAUGGCCCGGCGCGUCGGUGCUGCGCUGGGGCGGCCGCCCUCGCCAGGUACGCCAACGGCGGGUCGUUGCCGCCCUCGAGGUAUGUCAACACGCCCUCGAGUGUGCGGUCGGGGACGCCCCACCACAGGUGGCGCCCCUCGCUGUUCUGCCGGCCGCCGACCACCGGCGCGCCGUUGAUGGACGCCAAGCGCUGCUGCUGGCGGCGCUCGAAAUACGCCGCCCAAGCCGCGUGAUUGUCGGCGGCGUGCUGGGGGAGGGAGAGUUGGGCGUCGGUGAGGGAGGCGCGCAUGACCUCGACUUCCUCGGCGAAGUACUUCGGCUUCGCCACGGCGUCGGGCAACGGGGGAAUGAGCACUCCCCCGGCGCUGAGUCUCCACCCCGUCAGCCCGGCGCGCAUGUCCGGCGGCGCCGGGAUGUUCCCCUGGAACAGGAGGGCGGCCGAAGCCGUUGGCCGCCGCCUCGUCUCCGGGGAAGCGUUCCGCCAUGGCGACGGGCUCGGGAGAGGUAGAGAGAUAGAGGGAGGGGCUGGGCGGCGGCGAGGGACGGGGCUGAUGUGGGCACAGGCGAGUGCAGGCCACCGGCUAUAUAGCCGCGCCGCACCCGUGUGUACGCGUGCGAGGGAGGGGAGGCGUCGGUACGCCGUCCCGUGACGCGCCGCCCGUGAGGAAUCAAUGGCAAGGCUGACCGGCGGCAGCCUUGGCAUUGAUUCCCCGCGGGAACCGAGGCCGUUGGGGGAAGACGAGGCGCCGUGUCGCUGACGCGGCUGACCCGCGGCUUUUUCGCGCCAAAACAGCUCGCCCCGGCGCCCCCAGCGCGCCGGGUUCGGCCUGGGUACGCCGGCGCUGUUUUCGGCCCAGGCCGGCGAAAAUUGGGCUCCUGGGGAUGCGACUGGACCGUUUUUUUUACGCCGGCGCGAAAAAAUCGCCUGGGAAGUUCUUCCUGGGGCGCGGCUGGAGAUGCCCUGAGCAAUUAUCAAUUACAGUAGCAAUCUGGCAGUGCAAGCUCAACUUUUGCGUUUGCGCUGCAAACAGUGAUGACAUCGAAUCGAAGCGUAUGAAUAAAGUUAGGCUGGG